rnacentral:pre_miRNA from 1 species
UGCCUUUGUCCUAAGUCAAACUUCUUCAGGUUUGACCAAGUUUUUAGAAAAUAGUGACACCUACAAGACAAAUGCGUUAUCAAAACUUAUUUCAUGAAGAAGUUAAUGAAACUAGUUUAAUGUUGUAGAUGUUGGCGGUUUUUUCUAUAAACUUGGUUAAAGUUAAAAGAAGUUUAACUUAGGACAAAACCAA